GGAUGAACGCUGGCGGUAUGCUUAACACAUGCAAGUUGAACGUUUUUAUGAAAGUAAGGAAGUAGCGGACGGGUGAGUAAUGUGUGAGAAUCAAAGUUUAGUUAAGGGAUAACAUUUGGAAACAUAUGCUAAUACCUUGUAUCGCAGUAGUUGUGAAAGAAUUUCGUCUAAACAUGAGCUCGCAUUUGAUUAGCUUGUUGGUGGGGUAAUAGCUUACCAAGGCUUUGAUCAAUAGCUAAUUUGAGAGGAUGAUUAGCCACAUUGGGACUGAGACACGGAACAGACUCCUACGGGAGGCAGCAGUGAGGAAUAUUCCGCAAUGGGUGAAAACCUGACGGAGCAAUACCGCGUGGAGGAAGAAGGCCUUUGGGUUGUAAUCUCCUUUUCUCAUUGAAGAAUCUAUGACGGUAAAUGAGGAAUAAGCAUCGGCUAACUUCGUGCCAGCAGCCGCGGUAAUACGGGGGAUGCAAGCGUUAUCCGGAAUUAUUGGGCUUAAAGCGUUUGUAGGCGGCUUGAUGUGUUUGAUGUUAAAUCUUGAAGCUUAACUUCAAUCUUGCAUUGAAAACUAUUGGGCUUGAAUAUUAUAGGGGUAAAGGGAAUUCUUAGUGUAGCGGUGAAAUGCAUAGAUAUUAGGAAGAACACCAAUGGCGAAAGCACUUUACUAGGUUAAUUAUUGACGCUGAGAAACGAGAGCUAAGGGAGCAAAUUGGAUUAGAUACCCAAGUAGUCUUAGCAGUAAAUGAUGGCAAUUAAGUGGAGCAUUUUUGUUCUGCUGUAGUGAAAACGUUAAAUUGCCCGCCUGGGGAGUAUGCUUGCAAAAGUGAAACUCAAAGGAAUUGACGGGGGCUCGCACAAGCGGUGGAGCAUGUGGUUUAAUUCGAAGAUACGCGAAGAAUCUUACCUGGGUUUGACAUGUUAGGAAGUUUUUAAAAAGAAAACGUGCCAAUUGGAACCUAAACACAGGUGGUGCAUGGCUGUCGUCAGCUCGUGUUGUGAAAUGUUGGGUUAAGUCCUAUAACGAGCGCAACCCUUUUUUUUAGUUAUCUUUUUGAAUUCUAAAAAUACUGCCAAUUAUAAGUUGGAGGAAGGUGAGGAUGAGGUCAAGUCAUCAUGCCCCUUAUGUCCAGGGCUACACACGUGCUACAAUGUUUAAAACAAUGAGUCGCAAACCUGCAAAGGUAAGCUAAUCUCUUAAAUAUAAACUAAGUUCAGAUUGUAGGCUGCAACUCGCCUACAUGAAGUUGGAAUCGCUAGUAAUCGCCAAUCAGAAUGUGGCGGUGAAUACGUUCUCGGGCCUUGUACACACCGCCCGUCACGUCGAGAAAGCUGGCUGUACUCGAAGAGAUUUUUUAUUUUUAAAGUAUAAUUAGUGAUUUCGACGAAGUCGUAACAAGGUAGCCGUACU
rnacentral:rRNA from 1 species